rnacentral:rRNA from 1 species
UAACUUUAGAUUAAAUAGGAAUACCUAUUGAAUUUAAAUAUAUUAAUAAGUAGAGGAAAAGAAAUUAAUAAGGAUUAUUUUAAUAAUAAUAAGUAAAAUAAUAAUAGUUUAAAUUUGAAAUUUAAUUUCUAGGGUUUAAGUUAUAGUUUAUAGAGGAUAUUUUAAAUAUAAUACUUUCUAAGUUUUUUAAAAUAAGAUAUUAUAAAAAGUAAGAGUUCUAUAUAGUUAGAUAUUAAGUUUAUAUAAAGUUCUUUUAAUAAGUUAAGUAGUUUAGGAAUACUAUUUAAAAUAAAAAAUAUAUUUCUUCUAAAGUUAAAUACUAGCUAGAAACUAAUAAUAUAUAAGUAGAGUAAUUAAAAGAUAAAAAGUAUUUUAAAAAGAGGGUUAAAUAGUAUGUAAAAUUGUUAAAAGAGAAGUACUUAUAAUUAGAUUUAUAUUUAGUAGAUUAUUUGGUUUUUAUAGUUAGGGUAUUCUACUAGUUUAAGUUAGUAUUAGUUUAUUAUUAGGAAUAAAAGCUUUAGGGAUAUAGUUUUUUCUAAAAAGUAUUAUAGUUUAUUAUAUAAUACUUUUUAGUAGGUUGAGGUAUGUAUUCCGUAAAGAUACUAGUAUAAUAGUUAUUAGUAAUCCGUUUUGAAAUAUAGACUAAAGAGUUAACCUUAUAUAUAAGUAUUUAAAUAUUAAAUUUUUAUAUAUAAUAAAAGUGAAUAUAAGUGAGAGUUUUAGUAUAUUAUUAACUAAUCCUAAUAUUUUUAGAUAGAUUUAAGUAAGAAUAUAUAGGGUUAGAUCUAAAAGAAGGUAAACUAUAUAUAUAUAAGGUAAAACUAGAGGAAACUUUAAUAGAGGUUUAUAGUAGUUCUAAUAUAUAAAUUGAUUAUUAAAUAUAUAUAUAGAGGUAAAAGAUUAAUUAAACUUUUUAGUAGCUAGUUUUUGCUGAAGUUUCUUUUAAAAUAGUAGUAUUAAACUUAGUUUUAUAAAAUAGGAUAAAUAAUUAGAAAUUUAGAGGUAUUAUAUUGUUUUUAUUUAUUUUUAAAUUUUAAAUAUAUAAGAAGUUUUUAUUAUUUAGUUGAAUAUAGGUAUUUAAAUAUAUUAAUAUUAGUAGGCUAUUUUUAAUAAGUAGAACUAGUAAUAUAAAAUAAACUAAAUAUAAGGUUAAGAUAUUAGAGUAGAUACUUAUUAGAUAUUAUAAAAGGUAUUAGUAUAUUUUGAUAAUAGGAUAGUAGUUAUAGAAGUUAGAAUCUACUAAAGAUUAUAUAAUAACUUACUUACUAAAUAUACUAAUUUUGAAAAUAGAUAGUAUUUAAGUGUCUUAUUUAUAUUUCGCUUUUAGUAUAAAAAUAAUAUAUUAAGGAGUAGGUAGAUAUAGAGGUUAGUAAUAAAGCUUAAAGUAUAAGUUUAGAUAGAAUGGCUUCUAGUAUAGAUUUUAGUAGUAGUAGUAAAUAUUUUAAUAAGAAUUUGAAGGAUUAAAAUAAGGAAAAGUUUUAUAUAAAUAGUAAUUAGAUAUAAGUUAGUUAAUUUUAAAUUAUAGGGAAGUUUUAUUUUAAAAGGGUAUUUAUAUUCUAUAUAGUAAAAAGGAAGCUAGUUAAUAUUCUAAUAUUUAGAUAUAAGUUUUAUAUAGUAAUAUAACUAAAUAUAGAGAUAAUAGUAGGGGUUUUAAAUAGAAUUUUCUUUUUUUCUUAAUAAUUUAUUAUUUUAAAAUUAGUUUAUUUGGAGCUAGGGUUUAAUAGUUAGAAAAGCUUAAUAUAUCUAUUAGGUUUAGUAUAUUUUUGAUAUUUUUUGAAAAAAUAUAGGAAGGAAUAAUUCUUAUACUAAGUUAUAUUUAUAAUUAUAAUAGGUUUUUAAGGUGAAUAGUUUCUAGUUAAUAGAAUAAUAUAGAUAAAGGAAAUUAGUAAAAUAGAUUUGUAAUUUCAAAAUAAAGAUUAGUUUUAAAAGUUAGGUAUAUUAAGUUUUAGGUAGAUAGUUUGGGAGUAGGUUACUACUAGUUAGGUAACUAGCUAGAAGUUUCUAAUAUCUAGGUUUUAAUAUUUUUAGUAGGUUUUAAUUAUUUAGUAUAUAGUUAAUAAUUAAUUUAGAACUAGUAUAGAUAAGGGGAAUCUAACUAUUUAAUUAAAAUAUAGUAUUAUAAUAAUUAGAAAGUAGUAUUAAUAUAAUAUAAUUUCUACUUAAUAUUCUGAAUAUUAAAGUGAAGUAAUUUAAUUAAGUAUAAGUAAAUAGUAGGAGUAAUUAUAAUUUAAUUAAAAAAGUUAUUAGAAUAGUAUUAAAAAAAGCGACUACUAAUAGGGUUUUAUACUUUAUGAUACUAUUAAAUUAUAAGGAUUUCUUAGAGUUUUCUAUUAUUAUAGCUAGUUAGAAAUAGUUAGUGUAGUAUUUAAGUUAGUAGUUUAGGGGAUAGUAAUAAUGUAGUUAGUAUAGGAUAAUUAUAUAGUUAAGUUUUAUAUCUCCCCUAUAGGAAAUAGGGGUAUAGUUUAAUAAUUAAAUAGUAGUAAGUUUAGGGGGUAUUAUGGUAUAUAUUUAGGCUUAAGAUAUAGUUUAUAGUAAGUUGAAAGGUUAGUAUUAGUAUAUAAGUUCUUAAGGUAGUUAAAUAUUUUGUUAUCUAAUUAGUGAUAUAUAUGAAUAGAUUAAUAAGAUUCCUAUUGUUUUUAUUUACUAUUUAGUAAAAUUAUAGCUAAAAGAAUAAGUUUAGUAGAAUUAGUAGGGAAAGAAGAUUUUAUUAAAUUUAAUUCUAAUUUAAUAUUAUAAAGAAAUAUAAGAAGUAUAGAAUAAAUAAGAGUUUUAGUACUAGUAAAAUACUAUUAUUCUUAUUAUUUUUUUAUUUAUUUAAUAAAGUAGGGUUGGAUUUAUAUCUAACUUCUAGUUUUAAGGUUUUUUAUGGGUUGAUUUAAGUUGAAGAUAUUAUUAAGUAGGGAGUUUAGCUAGAGUGGUAUAUUUGUUAAACUAUAAUAUAGGUAUUUUAAGGGGGGUUUAUAGAGAAUAGAAAUUUCUAGUAGAAUAAAAGGGUAAAAGUUUUUUUGAUUUUAAUUUUUAGUAUAAAUAUAAACUAUAAAAAUAUAACUUAUUAAUUUUUUAAUAUUUUAAAAUUUGAAGUUAGAAGUAUUAGAAAAAUUACUAUAGGGAUUAAUAAUUAGUUUUCAGUAUUAUAAUAGAAAGUAGUGUCUAAUUUGGUGUUUUUUAUAUAAUACUAAAGGGUAUUUGCUAUUUCUAGUAAUUUAGUAUAGUUUCUGAUUGGGGCUAUAAGUAAAAUACCUAGAUAUAGGGAAGUUUUAAUAGGUUAGUAGUAGUAAGUUUUAAGGUAAUACUUUAUAGUAAAGUUUUUUCUAAAAUAACUAAUAAUCUACUAAAUAGAAGUAAUUUAUAGCUAACUUAGUUAUAGCUAGGUAGUUUAAUAUUUAGUAAAAUGUUAGUAAGAAAACGACUUCUUACUUAAAGUAUAAGUUAUACCUACCUAAGAAGGUAUUAUAUCUACUAGUUAUAUUAGCUAUAAAAUAUAGAAUAAGUUAUACUAUAGUAGCCUAUAGGUAUUAUAGAACUAGCUUAUAGUAGCUAAGUAUUUAUAGUAAUAUUAUUUUUUAAUUUUUUAAUAUUAGUUCUUCUUAUUAUACUAAAGUAGAAUUUGGUAAGUAUUAGAUUGUUUAUUUACUAGAUAUUAAUUUCUUAAAGUUUACUAUUAAUAAGAAUAAUUAGUUUUUCUUUCUAAGGAAUUACUAAUUAGUUAAUAUAAUAGAUAAUUUAUAAGUAUUAUAUAGUGAUAUAAUUUAGUUUAAGGGAAAUUAUAAGGUUGUGAGGUUUUAUAUUAAUCCUAAGGGGAAUACUUUCAGAGUAAUCUAGUAGAUAUUCCUAUAGAGUGUGGAAAAAUAUAGGUAGUACUUUUAGAAAUUAUUUAAAAGAUAUACUAAACUUUUAAAAGACUAAGUUUAUUUAUAGAGAGUUUAUAGUUUAAAAUAAGUAGAAGGUAUAUAAAUAAGCUAUAAGAAGAAAUACUAAUAGUAAGCUUAGUAGUAUUAUAUUUUAAUAGGGAUAUUAUUUAGUUAGUAUAAUAUCUAUCUAGUAGGGAAAAUAAUUAUAUUUAGUAGAUAUAUACUAUCUAUAUAGUAGUAUAAUAUAAUUAAAUAGGAAAUAUAAACUAGGUUUAAAUUAUUAUAAAAUAAGUUAGUUUUAUCUUACUAAUAACUUUAUUAUAAUAGUAAUUAAGUUUAAUAUAAGAAGAACUAUUUAUUUAGAUAAUUAGUUUUUAUAGCUAUUUGACUAAAUAGUAUUAUAAUACUACUAUCUACUAAAUAAUAGCUGAAUACUUCUAAAUUAGAAUCUAUAUUAGAAUAUAAUGAUAUUUCUUAUAUAUAUAAAUAGAUAUAAAUAGGUUUUAGCUUAGUAUUUUAGUAGGUAAUUAUUCUGUUAUUCUUAAAGUAAGUAGUAGUAUUUUGUAAAUUAUAAUUUUAAUAUAAAUAGGGUUAAAUUUUUUAUAGAUAAUUUAGAUAUUUAAAAAAAUUUUAUAAAUAGUAAAAUAACUUUAUUAUUAUAAUCUACUAAAAAUAAGUUUUUUUUUAUUUUAAUUUCU